CACGUGGCUACCGGCGGAAAAUAACGGAGGGAAUCAUGACGAUUUGCUAGUCCAGUACUACUCUGCAGCCCCAGAGAGGCCGUGGGAUCCAUCUGCUUGAGUCCAGCUGCAGAGCUGCGCACACAUUGGAAGUCCAUGGAUUAAAAGGAGAUCAGUUACACCAAACAGGGUUAACAAAUGGCAGAUGUUGUGAAAUUCAUUAUCCACUGUCACAACAGAGGGGCUAAAGGGACCCGGAGACCAUUUCCACAUGAAAGCUGCUUCCCAACAGAACCAUGGGAAACCGCUUCCCGCCCUGCAGACGGGAUGGAACUGGCAUAUUUUGGUCUCUGCACAUAUACACAACAAAAAUACAAACAGGCAUACAAAUGCA